UUUUAGGAUUCCAGUCUUUCUCGGUAAACACAUGGCCAUCACCAAAAUAGUUAACAGGCCCCUUCAAUGCGGCUUCAGAAGAGAUGUAUACAAACCGUUUAACUUUGGGUUCCUGAGCGGCCGCAAUGAGUGCAUUUUCACAACCCUGGAUUGCUAUAUGCAAAAGCUCAUGAGGGUCUUUGCGAGGUGGCUCAAGAUUUGAAUGAACUUCAGUAGCAGCAUGAAUUACAUAAUCUACACCCUUGGCAGCUUCAACGUAGGCGUUUGGGGCUCUACAAUCAGGUACUUGUACAAAUUCAACCUUCUUCUCCCACUCUGGUCUAUUUUUUAGCAAGCCAUCUAAUUUCUCCUGAAAACGGUAUGUACCACGAACUCGGUACCCUUGGCUUAGUAAGGCUUCUGCUGAAUGCGAUGCAACGAAACCUGUUAUACCAGUUAUCAGAACAA